GGUCUCGUAGCUCAGUUGGAUAGAGCAACAGCCUUCUAAGCUGUGGGUCGUGGGUUCGAGCCCCGCCGAGAUCA
rnacentral:tRNA from 1 species